rnacentral:rRNA from 1 species
CUCAACCUCGGAACUGCCUUUUGAACUACACAUCUGGAGUCUUGGAGGGGAGUGCGGAAUUCCUAAUGUAGAGGUGAAAUUCGUAGAUAUUAGGAGGAACACCGAUGGCGAAGGCAGCACUCUGGACAAGCACUGACGCUGAGAUGCGAAAGCGUGGGGAGCAAACAGGAUUAGAUACCCUGGUAGUCCACGCCGUAAACGAUGGAUGCUAGCCGUCGGGACGGUGGUCUCGGUGGCGCCGCUAACGCAUUAAGCAUCCCGCCUGGGGAGUACGGUCGCAAGAUUAAAACUCAAAGGAAUUGACGGGGACCCGCACAAGUGGUGGAGCAUGUGGUUUAAUUCGAGACAACGCGAAGAACCUUACCAGGGCUUGACAUGCCCGUCGCGGUUAGCAGAGAUGCUUUCCUUCAGCUAGGCUGGACGGUGCACAGGUGCUGCACGGCUGUCGUCAGCUCGUGUCGUGAGGUGUUGGGUUAAGUCCCGCAACGAGCGCAACCCUCAUUCUUAGUUGCUAACAUUUAGUUGAGAACUCUAAGAAAACUGCUGGAGUUAAUCCGGAGGAAGGUGGGGAUGACGUCAAGUCUUCAUGGCCCUUAUGUCCUGGGCUACACACGUGCUACAAUGGUGGUGACAGAGGGCAGCGAUACGGCAACGUAAAGCUAAUCCCUAAAAGCCAUCUCAGUUCGGAUUG